AGUCGAGCGGGCCUUUCGGGGUCAGCGGCGGACGGGUGAGUAACGCGUGGGAACGUGCCCUCUGGUUCGGAAUAACUCAGGGAAACUUGAGCUAAUACCGGAUACGCCCUUUUGGGGAAAGGCUUGCUGCCGGAGGAUCGGCCCGCGUCUGAUUAGCUAGUUGGUGAGGUAACGGCUCACCAAGGCGACGAUCAGUAGCUGGUCUGAGAGGAUGAUCAGACACACUGGGACUGAGACACGGCCCAGACUCCUACGGGAGGCAGCAGUGGGGAAUAUUGGACAAUGGGCGCAAGCCUGAUCCAGCCAUGCCGCGUGAGUGAUGAAGGCCUUAGGGUUGUAAAGCUCUUUUAUCCGGGACGAUAAUGACGGUACCGGAGGAAUAAGCCCCGGCUAACUUCGUGCCAGCAGCCGCGGUAAUACGAAGGGGGCUAGCGUUGCUCGGAAUCACUGGGCGUAAAGGGCGCGUAGGCGGCGUUUUAAGUCGGGGGUGAAAGCCUGUGGCUCAACCACAGAAUGGCCUUCGAUACUGGGACGCUUGAGUAUGGUAGAGGUUGGUGGAACUGCGAGUGUAGAGGUGAAAUUCGUAGAUAUUCGCAAGAACACCGGUGGCGAAGGCGGCCAACUGGAC
rnacentral:rRNA from 1 species